UAAAAAUUGUAAAAAAAUGUGGCGCAGCACAGGCGAAAUGAACUGUGACGAAUAACAACAAGCAGUAGCAGAAGGGUGAAAUAAAGAACAGGAAGAAGAAGCACGUGAAUAUGUCAGAUAUGUAAAACCAUUGUUGUAGGUUAGACGCGUGAAAUUUGAAACAAGUAAGAAAGGAACAAAAAGAGAGAAGAAAUUGAGGAGACUAAAGAACAAAUAAAGAUACAUUUAGGAGAUAUAUGUGUGCGUUGUUUAUUUGUCCAUUGACCAUAAAUUGUGAAAUUAAGCUUGAAAAAUAUAGAUGACAGAUAGAAUAGAAUUGGGUAAUGGAACACCAUUAUGAAAGGUAGUAAUUAUGAUCUGGAAAUAUAUUAGUACGGAAGAACACCGUUGGAAUCUUCUAAUUACAUGGAUGCUAUGUGGAAAGUGAUUAACGUUAAAUGAAUUCUAUCUAAAGGAAUGAAACUUAUUA